rnacentral:rRNA from 1 species
AGUGAACGCUGGCGGUAGGCCUAACACAUGCAAGUCGAACGGCAGCACAGUAAGAGCUUGCUCUUACGGGUGGCGAGUGGCGGACGGGUGAGGAAUACAUCGGAAUCUACUUUUUCGUGGGGGAUAACGUAGGGAAACUUACGCUAAUACCGCAUACGACCUACGGGUGAAAGCAGGGGAUCUUCGGACCUUGCGCGAUUGAAUGAGCCGAUGUCGGAUUAGCUAGUUGGCGGGGUAAAGGCCCACCAAGGCGACGAUCCGUAGCUGGUCUGAGAGGAUGAUCAGCCACACUGGAACUGAGACACGGUCCAGCCUCCGACGGGAGGCAGCAGUGGGGAAUAUUGGACAAUGGGCGCAAGCCUGAUCCAGCCAUACCGCGUGGGUGAAGAAGGCCUUCGAGUUGUAAAGCCCUUUUGUUGGGAAAGAAAAGCAGCAGGUUAAUACCCCGCUGUUCUGACGGUACCCAAAGAAUAAGCACCGGCUAACUUCGU